CUAUUGGAUACAUCACAGGUUACUGUGUACUAUUGGACACAUCACAGGUUACUGUGUACUAUUGGACACAUCACAGGUUACUGUGUACUAUUGGAUACAUCACAGGUUACUGUGUACUAUUGGACACAUCACAGGUUACUGUGUACUAUUGGAUACAUCACAGGUUACUGUGUACUAUUGGACACAUCACAGGUUACUGUGUACUAUUGGAUACAUCACAGGUUACUGUGUACUAUUGGAUACAUCACAGGUUACUGUGUACUAUUGGAAACAUCACCGGUUACUGUGUACUAUUGGACACAUCACAGGUUACUGUGUACUAUUGGAUACAUCACAGGUUACUGUGUACUAUUGGACACAUCACAGGUUACUGUGUACUAUUGGACACAUCACAGGUUACUGUGUACUAUUGGACACA